GGAAGGGGAUAUGGCCCGGUGGCCCUGCCAGUCUUCAAAACUGUGCUGUCCUGCUCAAGCGGGAUGGGUGGGUUCGACUCCCUCCUCCUUCC
rnacentral:tRNA from 1 species